AAUGCAAUAUGGCCUGAGGACUCAGACACACUAAUACCACACACAUAAGAGCAUCGAGACUGACUCUUCUGUCACAGUGAGAAGCUGGGCGUGAAAGUGUUUAUCUGGGGCUUUGGGAUUAUCAAUGAGCAAAUUACCUCUGAUCCAGCAGAGGGUCUCAGGCAGACUGUGCGCGUCUGCCAGGGACUGAAGACUCCCUCUCUAGAGCUUAGGAAGGAUGGGAGAAAUGAGGGACAAAUGACUGCACUUUAUUUUGAUGUAAUGCAUGUAGUCUAUUCUUAAUGGCUCAUUAUUGAUACUUCUUUUUGAUAUGAGGCCCCUCCUCUUUUCCUUUGGAGUAUCAGUGUGAGUGUGUUUUGUUUGAGAGUGGUGGCUCAUGCUGAAAGAGGCAGAGAGCUCUUCUCCCAGGAGGAUUCGUCUCACUACCAGCCCUUCAUUGCUCUGCCCGGGUGACUUUUCCUGCAGCUGCACCCAUGACUCUCCAGAACUGCCUGCUGCACAGAUAUGGACUGUAUUACUUCUUGGCAUUGCUGACACUUCUCAUGUCACAAGCUGACGGGCUGCAAUGUUACGCCUGUAACAUCGUGCAUAACCAGAGGUAUGUGGACGUAGGCUGUUCAAGCCCCGAAGUCAUCACCUGCUCCCACUCCCACAAGGGUUUCAAGCAUCGCUUCUGCAUCAGAACCGAAAGUGUUGCAUUGGGAGUCAUGCUGACUAGUGGCUGCGCAACAGCACGACACUGCCACACGGAGGAACUACCUGGAGUCAACAUCCACUGCUGCGGCGCUGAUCUGUGCAACAGCGCCACCCGCUGGCGGACGACCACACUGCUGCCAAUUUGCUCAUUGACGUUUUCUCUAUUGUUUCAAAGGUCGAUACUGUGGACGAAAUAACUUUGAAAUUUGAACGUCACGAUGCAUGACAUGCAGGAUGGAACUUGAAAAUAUAACUACAGCCUAAAAGAUGUGAACACAGACUCUGGAGUAUUAGGCCUAGGCCUAUGUGUGGAUUAACCUAUCCUUCACAUAGCCUAGUAUUGUUCUCUUUGGAUAAUUAGCUAAAUCAUUCUAAAAAACACUCACUGUAAGCCUCACAAGGACUUUUAUAUGGACAACAAGAAAACAUUUUAACCAUUUGUUUCAUUUUGAAGCAUUUAGCUCAGCCAAAAAUGAGAAAUUAUGCUUUUUACACUAUGUGUGAAAAUAUGUGUUCAGGAAUUGUAUCCUAUUUAAGGC
rnacentral:lncRNA from 1 species